AAACCGCGACUCUAUUUCUUCCGAUUUUUUCACACAAUCUGCAGCUAUAUAAGUCUAUUCUAGUUCACGACAGGGCGAGAGUCUGAAAAAUUCGCAACGAUGAAGUUCUUCUUGUUCGCGUUGUUGCUUAUGCUAAAUAUUGUUUGCAGGAGAGCAAUUGUGGCCCCCAUGAUCUUUUGCAGUAAAAAUUUUGGAUGCAGGGAUAGGUUGGAGUGUGGUUACAAUCAUUUUCCUACCUGUAUGGGUAACUACUGCAUAUGUCGUUAAGUUUGAUUUUAAUGUAAAAAUGCUGUAACGUUUUCGUAAUCAGUAGUUAAAUACAUCUGAGAGAAAAGGA